UGCAGUCGACGGUGAAGAGGAGCUUGCUCCUUGGAUCAGUGGCGAACGGGUGAGUAACACGUGAGCAAUCUGCCCUUGACUCUGGGAUAACUGCGGGAAACUGUAGCUAAUACCGGAUAUUACCUUGGAAGGCAUCUUCUGGGGUGGAAAGAAUUUUGGUCAAGGAUGAGCUCGCGGCCUAUCAGCUAGUUGGUGAGGUAAUGGCUCACCAAGGCGACGACGGGUAGCCGGCCUGAGAGGGUGACCGGCCACACUGGGACUGAGACACGGCCCAGACUCCUACGGGAGGCAGCAGUGGGGAAUAUUGCACAAUGGGCGCAAGCCUGAUGCAGCAACGCCGCGUGAGGGACGACGGCCUUCGGGUUGUAAACCUCUUUUAGUAGGGAAGAAGCGACUGGGUUUUCCUGGAAGUGACGGUACCUGCAGAAAAAGCACCGGCUAACUACGUGCCAGCAGCCGCGGUAAUACGUAGGGUGCAAGCGUUGUCCGGAAUUAUUGGGCGUAAAGAGCUCGUAGGCGGUUUGUCGCGUCUGCUGUGAAAACCCGAGGCUCAACCUCGGGCCUGCAGUGGGUACGGGCAGACUAGAGUGCGGUAGGGGAGAUUGGAAUUCCUGGUGUAGCGGUGGAAUGCGCAGAUAUCAGGAGGAACACCAAUGGCGAAGGCAGAUCUCUGGGCCGUAACUGACGCUGAGGAGCGAAAGCAUGGGGA
rnacentral:rRNA from 1 species